CCUACGGGAGGCAGCAGUGGGGAAUUUUGCGCAAUGGGCGAAAGCCUGACCGAGCAACGCCGCGUGCGGGAUGACGGCCUUCGGGUUGUAAACCGCUUUUCGGGGGGACGAUGAUGACGGUACCCCCGGAAUCAGCCCCGGCUAACUCUGUGCCAGCAGCCGCGGUAAGACAGAGGGGGCGAGCGUUGUCCGGAGUCACUGGGCGUAAAGCGCGCGCAGGCGGCAACCUCAGUGUCGUGUGAAAGCCCCCGGCUCAACCGGGGGAGGCCAUGGCAAACUGGGUCGCUCGAGCUGCGGAGAGGCCCCUCGAAUUGCCGGUGUAGCGGUGAAAUGCGUAGAGAUCGGCAGGAAGACCAAGGGGGAAGCCAGGGGGCUGGCCGCAGGCUGACGCUGAGGCGCGACAGCGUGGGGAGCAAACCGGAUUAGAUACCCUGGUAGUC
rnacentral:rRNA from 1 species